rnacentral:lncRNA from 1 species
UAAUCGCUGUGCGGAUCAAUUCGCAAAAAGUGUUACGACUGAAAACCGAUGGCAAUAGUAUGAGGCCAGAGGGGAACCGAAAUGGCUGAGGGUUCUGAUUCGAGAAGAGAAACCUCUUACCUCUGUGUAAGAUGGUAAUUGUUUUUUGGUUUUAAGAAAACUUUAGUUCUGUUUAUGCUCUGUUUGUCUUUACUUAUGGAACUUUCCGAGUAAUAAUAAAAAAAAUUAUGUUUCCUAUUUUUCUUUUCUUAACCGUUGCGCCAUCAUUUUCACCGUUACUAUUUUCUUAAUGCCGCCCAGAUUUAUCAUUUUUUUCCUUUCCAGGCGAAGAACACAGCUUUAUCGUGUGACAGAGAGGCAGCCUCUUUGCGGAUGCAUCCAAGCUGAUCUGUCGCCCUAAUGGAUCACUCAGAUCGGCUGCUUUCUUGUCUCACCACCGGUCUUCAUCAAAUCAGAGUAACGAUUCUUGUCUUCUUCUAGCGUCUUGUUCGUCAAAUCAUCCAGGAUUCAAAGUAAAUUUUGUCUUCAAACUGUGGAAUCUUAGUUAUGCGAUUCGUGUUUCUGAAAUUAUUGAAUCUAAUAUAUGUAUUUAGAGAAUAAAUUGAAUUCAAUUGUAGAUGGAUCUGACAUUCCAGAGCUAACACUAGUCUAGUAAUAAGAUAAGAUAAACUUGUAUCCUUAUAUGAUCAAUCAAUGGAUUUGGCACUAAUUCAGUUCAAAUAAACAAACAUUAUAUCCAAGUUCAGCCCAUACAUGUCCAUCUAAACGUUUCAGGAUUUGGUCCAAACGAAACCUAGUUCAAAAGUUAUAGAUAGAAAUCUG